CCUACGGGGGGCAGCAGUGGGGAAUAUUGGACAAUGGGGGGAACCCUGAUCCAGCCAUGCCGCGUGUGUGAAGAAGGCCCUCGGGUUGUAAAGCACUUUCAGUGAGGAAGAACGCCUGGUGGUUAAUACCCAUCAGGAAAGACAUCACUCACAGAAGAAGCACCGGCUAACUCCGUGCCAGCAGCCGCGGUAAUACGGAGGGUGCGAGCGUUAAUCGGAAUUACUGGGCGUAAAGCGCGCGUAGGUGGCUUGAUAAGCCGGUUGGGAAAGCCCCGGGCUCAACCUGGGAACGGCAUCCGGAACUGUCAAGCUAGAGUGCAGGAGAGGAAGGUAGAAUUCCCGGUGUCGCGGUGAAAUGCGUAGAGAUCGGGAGGAAUACCAGUGGCGAAGGCGGCCUUCUGGACUGACACUGACACUGAGGUGCGAAAGCGUGGGUAGCAAACAGGAUUAGAUACCCCUGGAGUC
rnacentral:rRNA from 1 species